rnacentral:rRNA from 1 species
UGGGGAAUUUUGGACAAUGGGGGAAACCCUGAUCCAGCCAUCCCGCGUGUGCGAUGAAGGCCUUCGGGUUGUAAAGCACUUUUGGCAGGAAAGAAACGUCGCGGGUUAAUACCCCGCGAAACUGACGGUACCUGCAGAAUAAGCACCGGCUAACUACGUGCCAGCAGCCGCGGUAAUACGUAGGGUGCAAGCGUUAAUCGGAAUUACUGGGCGUAAAGCGUGCGCAGGCGGUUCGGAAAGAAAGAUGUGAAAUCCCAGAGCUUAACUUUGGAACUGCAUUUUUAACUACCGGGCUAGAGUGUGUCAGAGGGAGGUGGAAUUCCGCGUGUAGCAGUGAAAUGCGUAGAUAUGCGGAGGAACACCGAUGGCGAAGGCAGCCUCCUGGGAUAACACUGACGCUCAUGCACGAAAGCGUGGGGAGCAAACAGGAUUAGAUACCCUGGUAGUCCACGCCCUAAACGAUGUCAACUAGCUGUUGGGGCCUU